rnacentral:tRNA from 1 species
GUGGCUGUGGCUCAGUGGCUGAGCGCUUGCCUCACAUGCACGAGGCACUGGGUUCGAUUCUCAGCACCACA